UCACGUUAAAUAUAUUAGAAAAACGUAGUAAUAUGUCCAUAAGCACCAUAUUUCAAGCAUGUAACCAAUCAAAGUAGCAUUACAAAUAUGUAUUUUUGUCUUCUAAUGACUUUCUAUUUCAAAAUAAGCAUCUAAAUGAUAACAAUUCAACAUAUAAGAUAUCUCCUAAGGCCGAAGAGUUAUUCGCUCUCUCGUCGCUCCAUGAAGGCGCGCCCGCGGUUCCUUUUUAAUCCGGAUGGGUUGUUUGCGGGACUGCGCGGGCGAUGCACGCUGCAUGCAGGCUGACGCGUGUCUCCCGGCUUGUGCGUUGUCCCUUCGGAUCCUUCGAGAGUAUGUGUGCUGGCGAUUAGGAGUCGGCCAUUCUCGUUCUGGUGGCUUCUUCUCGAUUCCAUACAGAGGCCCGACCCUGUGGUGUUAUUGUGUGGCUUUGGCAGUUCGUGCGGAGGAGGGGGCGGCAGUGGAGCGAGGAGCGCGACGGCUAUAGCUCCUGCGGUGGCGGCGGGGACUCGCGUGGAGGGCCUGCUUGCGCCGUUGCGUGGGAGGCGACGGCGACGGAGACGACGGCGCGGUUCCGGAGGGGGCCGCGGCGACGGCUAUCGCGUUGGAGUGAGGGCGACAGUUGUAGGUCACGCGGUGGCGGCGGGCACUCGCGUGGAGGUAGACGGCGGCGCCUGCUUCUUCUGUCCUGGUCCGAUUUCGCUACUUCUUCCUCUGCGGGCGAUCUUUGCCUAUAUGAGGGUUCUUCCGUGCGGCGGGGGGCCGUCCUGGACGAGGUUGGGCAGAUUUCGCGGUGGUUCCGGUCGAUUGCUCUCUUCAUAUGACGGAUUUGGCGGCGGUUCUGGGCGUGUGUUCUCCGACCGUUCCGGAUCCGGCGGCUGUUUUGUAUGCUUUUCUUUGUGCUGUUCCCAGAUCCUGAUUUUCGUUGUCGUGGUUGCUAAGCUGUGCUCUUCGGUUUAUCAUUGAUGCUUUAGUCUCUGAUUUCGACGCGCCUGCCUCUUGCAAAACCCAAAGUGUACUCUUACAACUAUGGUUUGGGUGAACGGCACUUUAAGAAGUCAGAGCAUAAGUGGUCGGGGUCUCUGUUCAUUGGAGCUACCCUUUCUGUUUCCCAUCUGGUCCCUCCAUUCAAUGGUGAAUGCAGAUCUGUUGUUUAGCAGCAGGAGGAGGCGUGGCGGGUGAACGCUCGACAACAUCCACAAGCUGCAAGCAGUUGUGGAGGUGCUCUGUGGAAUUUGGAUCGACUAUGAGGUGUCCAUCAAGUACCUCGGUGCUCCCUUCAAAACUGGCAUUGGGCAAGUUUGAACAUUCUCAUUUUUACAAUUGUUUUUCCACUUACGCUUGUGUAAACAGAAAAUUGAAGAAGUGCAAAAAAAUGGGAAAGAAUAUUUCUGAUGUGAUAUUUGCAAGUUAAUUCGGCAAUGUAUGAAAGUGAUAUUUACUAGUUA